rnacentral:rRNA from 1 species
GCCGGCAGCUAGCUCUCUGCAACUCUCACAUGCUGAGCAGGGCUGCGCUUGGUUAGUACCUGGAUGGGAGACUACAUGGGAAAGCUAGGUUACUGCCGGAA